ensembl:misc_RNA Metazoa_SRP Metazoan signal recognition particle RNA
GCUGGGCAUGACAGCGUGUGCCUGUAUCUCAGCUACUCUGGAGGCUGAGGCAGGAGGAUCACUUGACCGCAGGAGUACUGGGCUAUAGUGCUCUAUGCCAGUUGGGUGUACACACUAAGUUUGGCAUCAAUAUGGUGACCUCUUGGGAGCAGGGGACCACCAGGUUGCCUAAGGAGGGGUGAACCAGCCCAGGUUGGAAACGGAGCAGGUCGGAACUCCCGUGUUGAUCAGUAGGGGGAUUGCACCUGCUCUGGUUGUGCUGCCCAGGCUGGAUCCUACUACUC